rnacentral:tRNA from 1 species
CAGGAGAUAGUUUUAUAAAAAUAUUAAUUUUGGAGAUUAAAGAUAAGAGUUUCUUUUUCCUGA